GAUGAAGAACGUAGCGAAAUGCGAUACUUGGUGUGAAUUGCAGAAUCCCGUGAACCAUCGAGUCUUUGAACGCAAGUUGCGCCCGAAGCCACUAGGCCGAGGGCACGCCUGCCUGGGCGUCACACGUCGUUGCCCCCCCAUCUACUCCUUCGGGCUUGCGGGGGGGCGGAUGAUGGCCUCCCGUGCGCCUAGCCGCGCGGUUGGCAUAAAUACCAAGUCCUCGGCGACGCACGCCACGACAAUCGGUGGUUGCGAAACCUCGGUUGCCCGUCGUGUGCGUUCGUCGCGCAUCGAGGGCUCGAAAAAAUGCUCGGCUCCGGCUGGGCUUUCAACGCGACCCCAGGUCAGGCGGGGUUACCCGCUGAAUUUAAGCAUAUCAAUAAGCGGAGGA
rnacentral:misc_RNA from 1 species